GAUGAAGAACGUAGCGAAAUGCGAUAAGUAGUGUGAAUUGCAGAAUUCAGUGAAUCAUCGAAUCUUUGAACGCACAUUGUGCCCUUUGGUAUUCCUUAGGGCAUGCCUGUUCGAGCGUCAUUUAAACCCUUCAAGCUCAGCUUGGUGUUGGGUGACUGUCCGCCGCCCCCGGGCGCGGACUCGCCCCAAAUUCAUUGGCGGCCGGUACGUAGGCUUCGAGCGCAGCAGAAACGCGAACUCGGGCCCGCGGUGUCGGCUCCCAGAAGCCAUCUCUUUUAUUUUGACCUCGGAUCAGGUAGGGAUACCCGCUGAACUUAAGCAUAUCAAUAAGCGGAGGA
rnacentral:misc_RNA from 1 species